GAUGAAGAACGUAGCGAAAUGCGAUACGUAAUGUGAAUUGCAAAUUCAGUGAAUCAUCGAGUCUUUGAACGCAUAUUGCGCCCCCUGGUAUUCCGGGGGGCAUGCCUGUCCGAGCGUCAUUGCUGCCCUCAAGCACGGCUUGUGUGUUGGGCCCCGUCCUCCGAUCCCGGGGGACGGGCCCGAAAGGCAGCGGCGGCACCGCGUCCGGUCCUCGAGCGUAUGGGGCUUUGUCACCCGCUCUGUAGGCCCGGCCGGCGCUUGCCGAUCAACCCAAAUUUUUUAUCCAGGUUGACCUCGGAUCAGGUAGGGAUACCCGCUGAACUUAAGCAUAUCAAUAAGCGGAGGA
rnacentral:misc_RNA from 1 species